CUGGUAGCCUUCGACGGGGAUGAGCGCGUCGUGGCGCGGCUCCGGGUGCCCGCUGAUGCCGGGCACCACCGACACGUCCAGCACAGGGCCUCCCUGAGGAGAAGAGGUAAUAAAGAGAGAGAGAGAG